GGUCCGUCGGUCGACGUACGUCACGUAGAGGUUAGUAGUACACUGGCUACAGGACGAACGCUGGCGGCGUGCCUAACACAUGCAAGUCGAACGGACUGAUUCGCUUCGGUGAUGAAAGUUAGUGGCGGACGGGUGAGUAACGCGUGAGGAACCCGCCUUUCAGAGGGGGAUAACGUUUGGAAACGAACGCUAAUACCGCAUAACGCAUUUUUUAUCGCAUGGUAGAGAUGCCAAAGGAGCAAUCCGCUGAAAGAUGGCCUCGCGUCUGAUUAGAUAGUUGGUGGGGUAACGGCCUACCAAGUCGACGAUCAGUAGCCGGACUGAGAGGUUGAACGGCCACAUUGGGACUGAGACACGGCCCAGACUCCUACGGGAGGCAGCAGUGAGGGAUAUUGCACAAUGGGCGAAAGCCUGAUGCAGCAACGCCGCGUGAGGGAUGACGGUUUUCGGAUUGUAAACCUCUGUCUUCGGUGACGAAACAAAUGACGGUAGCCGGGGAGGAAGCCACGGCUAACUACGUGCCAGCAGCCGC
rnacentral:rRNA from 1 species